rnacentral:misc_RNA from 1 species
AUAACGGCACCCGACACCCCACGCCGUAUUAAGAACAUUCACCGCAUCCGCGGUAACAUGGUUUCCAGUUCCAACAAGGUAUAUACCUAUAUACCGCGCCGAGAUACUCCGAGCGUUGGCGCGAGUGCGCGAGUAUACGUGGCUCACGUGUUCGGUGCCCGCGGAGAGAAAGAGAGCGAAAGAUCAAUUUCAAGCCGCUAUAUCAAUCUAAAUGCGAGUGCCGCUUGGCUCUAAAACGUUCCGAUACUUUUCGCGAAGCCCGAGCGAUAUAUUGGUGCCCCGUGGGAAAGUGCAGCACGCCUCGACGAAAACGAUUCGCACGCGAACGUUUCGCGUCUCGCCCAUACGGCCCUCGAGAUUUAUUCCGAAGUAAAACGCUUUAGGACGCGAAACGUCGUACCAGAGUGACAAGUGCAUCAUUAUGUGAACGUGAAUUGCGCGCAUUGCGAGAGUAUUUUCCAUUUUGAAUAUGUCAGACGUCGAGUAAGUUAAUGACGCGCAAUUUUCCCGUCGCGCGUAAAUCCAAGUUUGUCGUUUCAGAAUUCAUUACGCGAUUUUUCGCACCAUUUUCACGAUGCCAUCGUCGCGCGUCCCGCCUACGUUCUUGUUACUGCGUUUUUCUUCAUAGAGAAAAUAUCGUCUUUCCUUUUAAGAUGACGCCAUGGCUGAUGGCAUUCUUCUGCCUGGCGACCGCGGGCUGCUCGAACGUCACGGACCAGCAGACGUCGGAAACGCAUCAUGAUCACCAAGUGGCGAUCUUGAAACAGAUCAGAAAGGUGAACGAAGACGGCUCUUACACGUACGGCUAUGAAGCCGGCGAUGGAUCAUUCAAGGUCGAGAGUCGCGAUGUUCUGGGCAACAUUAAAGGCACGUUCGGCUUCGUCGACGCCGACGGCGAGAUAAAGAGAGUCUCGUACUCCUCGUCGAAUGGGACGGGCUUUAAAGCAACCACCAUGUCGCCGUUGCAGGAACACGUGUCCGUCGUGCAAAGUAUACCGCGCGUCAACCGUACGUCAACCACGAAAAGACCGAGCAUCGUGUACGCCACGACAACGGAGUCUUCGACCAGGCCGUCAGUGGUACAGUCAAUUCCUCGAACGAGGAAAACGACUACGACCACCACGACGACCACGAGCACCACUACGGAAGCGCCGAAGACGAUAUUCGGGCACUACUUGAAGGGCACGGCAAAGAGCAGGCCGCGCUUCGUCAUCAACGGGCAACAGAGACCGAUCGUUAUAGAGGAAGACACCGAAGACGAGGACUCGCAAAUCAAUCGACCCAGUGCGGACGACAAAGACGGCGCCUAUCGAAGGAUCAUCUUUGCCAAGAGACCGAUCGAGCAUAGCCUCCCGCCAAUCUCUGAGGAUUUCGUGGAGAAGGAAGACGAGGCUAAGAUCACAACGGGAAACACCUUGAGGAGGCAGUUGCACGACGAGACAACCAAAUCGAAUUCCGGCAUUGCUGAUGAGGGGGACGAUCAUUCCGACGUUUACGGGGGAUCCUUGUCCACGACGCGUCCCUUGUUCACUACGACGGCUCCAUCGCGAGUACUCCAGAGGGUUUCCAGUACUUCACGCACAGAACGGCCAAAGUUCUACGUCAAUCGUCAGGAGAACUUGGGGGCGGGUGGUCGAUUCAACAGCCCGAAAUACGACGAUUCCCGAGUCUACGAGACGGAGACAAAGUCCACGCCUCAGGAAGAGCGCACGACAACCCAGCAGAUCCUGCUUCGCAGUUCUACGGCCAGGGUACCGACCGAGUCUACGUCGACCCGGGACUACGUCAGACAGAGCACCGAGCCUGUCUUCGUGAGACAGCAACCCGAGCAGUAUCUGCGGGAACUGCCGCCUAGGAUACUCGUCCCGUCCCAACAGGGCAAUCUCGAGGAUGACGGAAGCGUUUACAGAGCGAUACCGAUCGGUAGACUCUUAUUACGACCUCCGUCGAAUCAUCAGCCGGUCUACUCGUCAUCCACGACGGAUGCCAAUGUUCAUUAUCUGACGGAGAAUCCUCUACCCGAUCCCGAGGAUGAGGCGCGAAUCGCGAUGAACUAUAUGCGUCCGCGUCCCGUGCGGCCGCUAAUCUAUCCGGACCCCGAGCAGAGAGCACGGCCGAUCCUGCGACCAAUUCCGAGUCCAGUAGCUCCUGACGACAGAGAAUACCAAGCGACCACGCCCGAGUAUCCAGGUUACCGGACUGGCGCCCUGCCGCUGCCUCCGGAACCGCCAAACCCGAUCGCGCCGCCUCUCAGCCGACGAGACUUUCAGAUGUUGCUGAGGAGGCUGCUGGUGAGCCAAUACGGCGUGCAAGCCCUGUCAUACCCAAAGAGCUUCCUCGAGGACGCUCUGUACGACCAGCAGCCGUAUCCUUCGUACCCAGCGGGCUAUCAGGCGCCGCUUCCAAGACCCGAAAUCGCAUCGCAAAUCGCAUAUGAUCAACAGGCGCAGUACGGUGACCGAGUGGCCCUGAGACGUCCGGUGUAUCCCCGGGCUCUGAGCCCGCUCUAUCAUCCUCAGUACGACGAUUACCACGACAGAUAUCCCAAGAGAGUGUACAGGCAGAAGUUCUACACGCAGGACGUAGCCGACGACGGGGACGAGAUUUUACCAGCACAUAUCAGGGAAGCUUUGUUGCUGCGAAUGGUCAACCUAGUGAUCAACACUGACCGAUCGACGAUGGUCCCGACAACCGUGAUGGCCACCACGACGCCCGCAUCGAGAUACAGAAAAACAGGCCCAGUCAGGAGCGUGCAGAUUAUUACGGAUGACGAGGAGGAGGAAAAGGACAUGAGGAAAAAGAUGUAACACAGCGACGAGUGAAUUAGAAAUAGUUAGGAAUUACGAAGAAGUAUUACUCGUUGCAGUGGACGAACGGAUACGUCCAUCGACGUGCAAGGACCAAUGUCUUACACGCAACAUACGCAUUCGUGUCGUUAAUGAAUCGAGACGAUUUCGCGAAAGGGAAAUCGUUGGUGCGCAGCCCGACCGAUUUUCCGCACGAUAGCUCCCCGACAUCUGUUGACGCCCAUAUUUAUGUGCAUUAGAGUAGGUGCAUCAGUGUACGAUCGACGAAAAAAUAUCAUUGGAUAAUUAAAUUUCUUUCCUAACUGUAAGAUACGAUAUUCUCAUGCAGGUUUUAUCUGUCAGGUAUCGCAUGAAAUUUUUCUCACGCUGCUGGGAUUUGCGUCAAAAUCAUGUCGUUUUAAAUUAACAAUGAGGGAAGAGUGUUGAAAUAAUAAAGUCACCAGGGAAAAUGGCAUUCCAUAAACGACAGCUUUAACUUACAAUGCUAAUAAUAUUAUAACAAAGCAGUUUUGGAAAAUAAGCCUAUUUGUAAUACAUCAAUAUAGUUUAAUUUAAACUUAAUUUAUAACUUUCUAUUUUUUCCAAUUCUAAGAAUUAAAAAAAGACGAAGUUAAACUAAGUUUAAAGUUAAAUUAUAUUGGAUAUACGAAGCAAAAAGCCCACUAAACACAAAAUCAUUACUAUACUUAGUAUAAUAUACUAUGUUGUCAACAAGUCAAUAACACGUAAUGUUUUCGUUUAAUAUGUAUACAACAAUAUAAACAAAUUCUGGUCCUAACUUGGAGAUAAUGUUGUUAAAAUUUCAACAAUGUUUCGAAAAAAAUUAUCAUUAAAUGAUUUUCCUAAAAUGUUUAUACAAUAUUAUUUUAAAAUGUCUUAAUCUCUUGGAAGCAAAAAAAAAACAUUAAGACCUUCGUUGGUCAGCGUUUAAUCAUCGAUGCAUCGAUCUAUCCUGAGCGAAUUGAUCGAAAGAAAUCUAUCAUACAAGAUAAUCCUCCAUUUAAAAACGCGACGGACAGCACGGACCAGCAAGAGCUCUAUAGACCCUAAGGCAUCUCUAGCGUACUCCCUGCUUACGACUGUAAAUACGGCGUUACGUAAGAGAGACUAGUGUGAUAUAUAUACGCAUCGAAAUAAAGAAAGAGUCGGACGGUAGACGCCAAGGCGUUGUGUUGUGAGAACUCAUUUCAUAAGUCCCUGAGAGUCGGCGUUACCGGGAAAGAAUAGUAGUAACGCGUCUACACUGCCGGUAAUUAGCGUCGCGCGUUGCGACAUUCCGCGCCCGGUCGGGUCUCUCUACGCGCGAAUAUGUGGCCGCGAGGGCGUAGAGAUUAUGCGAUCUCGCGGCGCGAUUUCCACGCAUUCGGGAGAGCCCGCUCCGUUGUCUGCGAACGAAUUUCUUUUGUCGCGGAAAAAAAAAGCGUUACGCGCGCGCGACACACGACGCAAAAUGUCUCACGCGUAUGUACCCGAACGCGAGAGGAACGUGAGAAGCGGAACAAUCGCGAACGAUGAACGUUCGAUUUGCACAAGUGGCGACACAGCAAAAGGCGAAUCAAUUGAAUGUUAAACAAACAAAAAAAAGUAUCAAUGGGAACGAACUCAUUAGUCCUCGUGUGCAAAUCAUUAAUUCAUCAGACGGAGUAAAUUACUGUUUGAAAAGUAAAUUAAAAUUUAAUUACUUUAAUUCGCUUUAUCUGACAAGAUUAAUUGCAGUAAUUUGAUGCUUCGAUAGCCAUGGCUGGUUAUCGCUGAUUAAUUGAUUCGAGUAAUCAAAGUAACAAACGGGCACUACAAAGAAGAAUAUUAAACAAAUCUAUUUUAAAAUUCUCGGAGUUUUGUUUGUACAAAAUGUAUCAGUGCCAGUUACUGAUAUGCGAAAUAAAGCACAUAGUAAUCGCAAUGCCAAUAUUGACUCAACGCCCUGCUCGAGAAUGUCGGUCGAACGAGUUCCGGCGUGAAAAAGUAACGUGCGAAAUGUUUCAAUUCACGGCGAACGGCAGGCUAUUUUCCGCGGUUGUCUAAAGAGUGCCCUGAAUUUUCCAUGCGCACCGGAUAUGCACGCGUGCAUUUGAAAGGCCGUCGUUAGGACGCGGAGACACUUGCCGCAGCGCGGACAGCGAUCUUGCACAUGUCUUCCGGUAUACACUGAAUAAAAAAUUAUGUAAAUUUAUGUAAAUAAUAUUUGUACAACUAC